rnacentral:snRNA from 1 species
GAAUGAGUUAGUGUACCCUCUGCUUCAAUUUUCUGAAUAAUGUAAAUAAUUGGUAUCAUUUCUUCCUUAAGUGUUUGGUAGACCAAAUAAGCUCUCAAGGUCCAUCCAUUUGUAGGAGAACAUAGUGUAGUCAAACUUAUAAGACUCCAGACACAUCCAAACAGGUGCUACAUGUGGCAGCUUGCCUUUCUU